rnacentral:rRNA from 1 species
UACGGGGGGGGCAAGCGUUGUUCGGAAUUACUGGGCGUAAAGGGCUCGUAGGUGGCUAACUAAGUCAGACGUGAAAUCCCUCGGCUUAACCGGGGAACUGCGUCUGAUACUGGAUGGCUUGAGUUCGGGAGAGGGAUGCGGAAUUCCAGGUGUAGCGGUGAAAUGCGUAGAUAUCUGGAGGAACACCGGUGGCGAAGGCGGCAUCCUGGACCGACACUGACGCUGAGGAGCGAAAGCCAGGGGAGCAAACGGG